UGUGUGUAAUGUUGAAAAUACAACUUAACUAAUAGAGCCUUUUUCGGGCCCUGUGAUGCGCAAUUCCAUUUUUCUGGAGCAGUUGAGAGACAGCCGCCGCUCCACAGGCGCUUGCCGCACCAUCUGACUAGAAGACGUGUCUUUCGCCUCUUCUGGGGUGCUGGACACUUGUUCUUUCAAGCAGUUUGUUCGCCUUAAAGGCCUCGCCUCAGGAGACGAGACCUUAGGAACCACCAACCCAGAAGUCGAUGCCUCCUUCCGAGACGGUGGCACAGCGCUGACUGCAACCGCCAGGGAGGGCGAGGGGAGGCUUCACCACCGGCUCACUGCGUGCGGGCCAGACAGCCACCAGAAGCCGUUGUGGUGUCUCCGCCCGACGCGCCACUUUGGCAAAGCUGUUCUUUGGCAGUAUGGGCAGGACUGCAAGUAUGCAGUGUGCUCCCCGUCACAGUUUACACAAUGUGGAGUAUUCUUGCACAAGUCAGAUGUGUGUUCAGAAGCACUGCAUUUGCCAGGCAAAGCUGACUUUCGGGAACUGGCAUUAUCCAAGGCACCGUGCUUUCCGAGCUUUGAAGCCAAUCGCAAGGACCACAAAGGCGGAGUCGGCGCCAUUGCUGACAGCGCCGAAUUCUUUCAAUGAAAAACACGGCACCCAAAGGCAAGAAGCUUGAAAGUGAACGCCGAAGUGUCUAGGUCUAGCGUUGCCGCAUAGGUGGCUAUGGCUGCCAGCGGAUCUGCGUGCGAGAGCGCCGGUUCGGGGC